AUUCCGUGAUGCGGGCACUUUCUUAUCAAUUCUUUGAAUCUCUCCCAAGCUUCAUAAAGAGACUCAUUAUCCAACUGAGAAAAAUUAUUGAUCUCUCCUCUCAACUU